CCCUUAGAGUUUGAUCCUGGCUCAGGAUGAACGCUAGCGACAGGCUUAACACAUGCAAGUUGAGGGGCAGCACAGGUAGCAAUACCGGGUGGCGACCGGCGCACGGGUGAGUAACGCGUAUGCAACUUACCUAUCAGAGGGGGAUAACCCGGCGAAAGUCGGACUAAUACCGCAUGAAGCAGGGGCCCCGCAUGGGGAUAUUUGCUAAAGAUUCAUCGCUGAUAGAUAGGCAUGCGUUCCAUUAGGCAGUUGGCGGGGUAACGGCCCACCAAACCGACGAUGGAUAGGGGUUCUGAGAGGAAGGUCCCCCACAUUGGUACUGAGACACGGACCAAACUCCUACGGGAGGCAGCAGUGAGGAAUAUUGGUCAAUGGCCGAGAGGCUGAACCAGCCAAGUCGCGUGAGGGAUGAAGGUUCUAUGGAUCGUAAACCUCUUUUAUAAGGGAAUAAAGUGCGGGACGUGUCCCGUUUGUAUGUACCUUAUAAUAGGAU
rnacentral:rRNA from 1 species